rnacentral:rRNA from 1 species
AAGAGAAAGAAACAUCGAUUCCCAAAGUAGCGGCGAGCGAAAUGGGAAGAGCCUAAACCGAAUCUCUACGGAGAGUCGGGGUUACGGACCUGCGGAAUCGAGAUUACUCAUAGUCGAAUAGCAUUGGAAAGUGCAGCCGGAGAGGGUAAAAGCCCCGUAGGCGAAAUGAGGAAUUGAGAGGCGGGAAUCCAGAGUACCACAGGACACGAGGAAUCCGGUGGGAAGUCGGGGGGACCACCCCCCAAGGCUAAAUACUACUUGGUGACCGAUAGCGUAUAGUACCGUGAGGGAAAGGUGAAAAGAACCCCGGGAGGGGAGUGAAAGAGAACCUGAAACCCUAUGUUUACAAGCAGUGGGAGCGCAAGCGACCAUGUACUUUUUGUAGAACGGGCCGGCGAGUUACUGUGUGUAGCGAGGUUAAGGUGUAGAGCACCGGAGCCGUAGCGAGAGCGAGUCUCAAAUGGGCGAAUAGUUGCAUACAGUAGACCCGAAACCGGGUGACCUAUCCAUGGACAGGAUGAAGCGGUGGUAAAGCACCGUGGAGGUCCGAACCACACGUAUGUUGAAAAAUGCGGGGAUGAGCUGUGGAUAGCGGAGAAAUUCCAAUCGAACUCGGAGAUAGCUGGUUCUCCCCGAAAUAGCUUUAGGGCUAGCCUCGAUUUAGAUUAUUGGGGGUAGAGCACUGAAUGGGCUAGGGGGCCACAAAGCUUACUGAACCCUAUCAAACUGCGAAUACCAAUUAAUUGAUGAUCGGGAGUCAGACAGUGAGAGAUAAGUUCCAUUGUCGAAAGGGAAACAGCCCAGAUCCACGACUAAGGUCCCAAAAUACACGUUAAGUGGAAAAGGAUGUGCAGUUGCACAGACAACCAGGAUGUUGGCUUAGAAGCAGCCACUCAUUCAAAGAGUGCGUAAUAGCUCACUGGUCGAGUGAAUGUGCGCCGAAAAUAUAACGGGGCUAAACGUGAUACCGAAGUCUGGGGAUCAAGAAAUUGAUCGGUAGGGGAGCAACGCAUACGGACAGAAGCAGAAGCGGGAGCGACUGUGGACUGUAUGGGAGAGAGAAUGCCGGCAUGAGUAGCGAGAGCAAAGUGAGAAUCUUUGCCGUCGAAAGCCUAAGGUUUCCUGAGGAAGGCUCGUCCUCUCAGGGUAAGUCGGGACCUAAGCCGAGGACAAGAGUCGUAGGCGAUGGACAACAGGUUGAUAUUCCUGUACCGUACUUAAGCGUUUGACUGAAGCAGUGACACAGAAGGAUAGACAGACCGAGUGAAUGGAAGAACUCGGCCAAGCAGUGAGGCUGACAUGUAGUGAAGUACGCAUGUUAAGGCUGGGCUGUGAUGGGGACUGAAAAUUAGUAGGGAAGCUGUUGAAUUCACACUGGCGAGAAAAGCUGCUAAGGAGCGAGAGUAUGCCCGUACCGCAAACCGACACAGGUAGGCGAGGAGAGAAUCCUAAGACGAGCGGGAGAACCCUUGUUAAGGAACUCGGCAAAAUGACUCCGUAACUUAGGGAGAAGGAGUGCCUCGAGAGAGGCCGCAGAGAAUAGGCCCAAGCGACUGUUUACCAAAAACACAGGUCUGUGCGAAGUAGAGAUACGACGUAUACGGGCUGACGCCUGCCCAGUGCCGGAAGGUUAAGGGGAAGUGUUAGGGCAACCGAAGCACGGAACUUAAGCCCCGGUGAACGGCGGCCGUAACUAUAACGGUCCUAAGGUAGCGAAAUUCCUUGUCGGGUAAGUUCCGACCCGCACGAAUGGCGUAACGACUUGGGCACUGUCUCAACAAGGGACCCGGCGAAAUUGUAGUAUGUGUGAAGAUGCACAUUACCCGCGAUAGGACGGAAAGACCCCGUAGAGCUUUACUGUAGUUUAACAUUGGAUUUUGAUAACACAUGUACAGGAUAGGUGGGAGGCUGAGAAACCGGCACGCCAGUGCCGAUGGAGCCGCUGUUGGGAUACCACUCUUGUGUUAUUGGAGUUCUAACGAAGUGCCGUAAACCGGGCUUCGGACAGUGUUAGAUGGGCAGUUUGACUGGGGCGGUCGCCUCCGAAAGAGUAACGGAGGCGCCCAAAGGUUCCCUCAGCGCGGCCGGAAAUCGCGCGAA